CUACUACUCAGCCAUAAAAAAGAAUGAAAUAAUGCCAUUUUCAGCAACACGGAUGGACCUUGAGAUGAUCAUACUAAGUGAAAUUUUGGUUGGGCCACCUGGGAAGAGGGGAUGAUGAAGAGAUCAAAGGAGAAAAGAGUCAGUGCUGGCUUACUACUGUGAUCAAGAACUUGGCAUUCAGAGUGUCUUGAUCUGGGUGGUAGUUAUGCAGGAAAUAAAGGAGGAAGACCAGGCUACACUUACUAAAGAAAGUAGGUGAAUCUUCUCGGAAGAGUCACGGGCAGAACAGCUAACCAAAUUAAAUAGAGGCCAUAAAAAUGCAUCGUUCUGAAGGCCAAAGAGUCCAAGAAUGGAAUAAAUGCCAAAACGGA